rnacentral:ncRNA from 1 species
GUUCUUGCGCUGUCCGGUGCGCUCGCGUCGGCCCUUGAAAAUCCGAGUGAGGGAGUGUGAUUUUCGUGCCGGACCGUACCCACAUCCGCAGCAGGUCUCCAAGGUGAACAGCCUCUAGUCGAUGGACCAAUGUAGGUAAGGGAAGUCGGCAAAACGGAUCCGUAACCUUGGGAUAAGGAUUGGCUCUGAGGACUGAGCCGGUCGGGCUGGGGACCUGAAGCAGGAACGGCACUGCACCGGGACUGGGCGGGGCUCGCCGUUCACGCGGCGCGGCCAAGCCCGGACCAGCGUCGGGACCUUCCUGUGGAAAGCCUCAGCUGCGCGGCGUCUGAGGGCUUCGUGCCCAAAGUGCUAUGCUUCGGCCGGCAAAAAACAGUCAACUCAGAACUGGCACGGACCGGGGGAAUCCGACUGUCUAAUUAAAACAAAGCAUUGCGAUGGCCGCUGGUCGGUGUUGACGCAAUGUGAUUUCUGCCCAGUGCUCUGAAUGUCAACGUGAAGAGAUUCAUCAAAGCGCGGGUAAACGGCGGGAGUAACUAUGACUCUCUUGGCACCGCUCUGCUCCCCGGACGCAAAUUCAUUGACCUUGUAAAGCUGAGGGUUAACGCCAUGCCAAACCGUGCGCGUACCAAGCGCGGCCAGAGUGGAGACACGAUGUGUAGGGCGGGAUGUAACACCACUGAGAGUCUUGGGCACAUCCUGCAGCGCUGCCACCGCACUGACUCCACACGUAUACGGAGACACGACAAUAUAGUCGGUUACGUCGCUCGGCGCCUGCGGGCGGUCGGGUGGGAUGUCCGGGUGGAGCCCGCGAUGGAGACAUCUCAGGGCAGAAGAUUCCCUGACCUCGUGGCGACAAGGGGCGAUCAGGCCGUCAUCUUAGAUGCCCAGGUCGUCGGUUUGCGCAUAUCGCUCGCCGAGGCCCAUAAAAACAAAGUCGCUAAAUACUCAGUGCCCGAGAUUCUGGACCACGUGCGGGGGACCCGUAAAGCGGCUCCUCUGGUGUCCAGCGUCACGCUCUCGUAUAGGGGCGUUUGGGCAAAGGAGAGCGCUGACGUUCUGUGCGACAUGGGACUCGGCCGCCAGGACAUUAAGCUCAUUACGAUCAAGUGCCUGCAGGGGGGGGUG